UCCAGUUUACAUAAAAACGCUCUGCACUUAUGAGUAAUUUAUGGUCAAUGGCUUAAGUAUUGAUCUUUAAUCACAACAGUGCAUUGGAGCUACAACUUUAGACGAGUACCGAAAGCACAUUGAGAAAGACCCGGCAUUGGAAAGAAGAUUCCAGCCAGUGAAAGUACCUGAACCUACCGUGGAUGAAACUAUUCAGAUAUUGAAGGGUCUGCGUGAGCGAUACGAAAUUCAUCACAAGCUUCGUUACACUGACGAUUCUUUAGUAGCAGCUGCACAGUUGUCAUACCAGUACAUUAGGUGGCUAAUCUCUCAGAUUACUUGUUAAUAAUUUUCUAUUAAUUAAGGGUGUUGUUAAUGUUUCUUACCUCUGAUUGUCCUUUGAUUUCCAGUGAUCGUUUCCUUCCUGACAAGGCAAUUGACUUGAUCGAUGAAGCUGGUUCUCGGGUUC
rnacentral:lncRNA from 1 species